rnacentral:pre_miRNA from 1 species
AGCUUUCUGUAUCUGCUGAGAUUUCGUCACGCACCAGACUACAAGGGCAGUUUAGACUUUCAAGAUAAGUGAAGCG